rnacentral:rRNA from 1 species
CAGUAGCCACGGGAAUACCGAGGGUGCAAGCGUUAAUCGGAAUUACUGGGCGUAAAGCGCGCGUAGGUGGUUUGUUAAGUUGGAUGUGAAAUCCCCGGGCUCAACCUGGGAACUGCAUCCAAAACUGGCAAGCUAGAGUAUGGUAGAGGGUGGUGGAAUUUCCUGUGUAGCGGUGAAAUGCGUAGAUAUAGGAAGGAACACCAGUGGCGAAGGCGACCACCUGGACUGAUACUGACACUGAGGUGCGAAAGCGUGGGGAGCAAACAGGAUUAGAUACCCGUGUAGUCCCUGUCUCUUAUAC